rnacentral:rRNA from 1 species
CGGCAUGCCUUACGACAUGCAAGUCGAACGGCAGCACGGGAGCAAUCCUGGUGGCGAGUGGGCGAACGGGUGAGUAAUAUAUCGGAACGUGCCCAGUCGUGGGGGAUAACGUAGCGAAAGCUACGCUAAUACGCAUACGAUCUAUGGAUGAAANCGGGGGAUCGCAAGACCUCGCGCGAUUGGAGCGGCCGAUAUCAGAUUAGGUAGUUGGUGAGGUAAAGGCUCACCAAGCCGACGAUCUGUAGCUGGUCUGAGAGGACGACCAGCCACACUGGGACUGAGACACGGCCCAGACUCCUACGGGAGGCAGCAGUGGGGAAUUUUGGACAAUGGGCGCAAGCCUGAUCCAGCAAUGCCGCGUGCAGGAUGAAGGCCUUCGGGUUGUAAACUGCUUUUGUACGGAACGAAACGGUGAGCUCUAAUACAGUUUGCUAAUGACGGUACCGUAAGAAUAAGCACCGGCUAACUACGUG